UCUAGCGACAAUAGCACUGUGGUACCACCUGAUCCCUUUCCGAACUCAGAAGUGAAACGCAG
rnacentral:rRNA from 1 species